rnacentral:sRNA from 21 species
GUCAACCGCCUCUCCUGAAUCAGAGAUUCAGAAUGGGCUUGUAAAGGCCCAAGUUGACUAUCCUAAGUCUUAACUGACUAAUGUGGAUACCUUUAUGUAAUCGCCAGUCCAAAGCUCUAUC